rnacentral:rRNA from 1 species
AUUGAACGCUGGCGGCAGGCUUAACACAUGCAAGUCGAGCGAGCGGCGGACGGGUGAGUAAUGUAUGGGGAACUGCCCGAUAGAGGGGGAUAACUACUGGAAACGGUGGCUAAUACCGCAUACUAUCAGAUGAGCCCAGAUGGGAUUAGCUAGUAGGUGGGGUAAAGGCUCACCUAGGCGACGAUCUCUAGCUGGUCUGAGAGGAUGACCAGCCACACUGGGACUGAGACACGGCCCAGACUCCUACGGGAGGCAGCAGUGGGGAAUAUUGCACAAUGGGCGCAAGCCUGAUGCAGCCAUGCCGCGUGUAUGAAGAAGGCCUUAGGGUUGUAAAGUACUUUCAGCGGGGAGGCGUUACCCGCAGAAGAAGCACCGGCUAACUCCGUGCCAGCAGCCGCGGUAAUUC